rnacentral:rRNA from 1 species
UAGGAUUCUGGGCGUAAGCGCACGCAGGCGGUCUGUCAAGUCGAUGUGAAAUCCCCGGGCUCAACCUGGGAACUGCAUUCGAAACUGGCGGCUAGAGUCUUGUAGAGGGGGGUAGAAUUCCAGGUGUAGCGGUGAAAUGCGUAGAAUCUGGAGGAAUACCGGUGGCGAAGGCGGCCCCCUGGACAAAACUGACGCUCAGUGCGAAAGCGUGGGGAGCAAACAGGAUUAGAUACCCUGGUAGUCCACGCCUAAACGAUGUCACUUGAGGUUGUGCCCUUGAGCUGGCUUCCGACUAACCUUAAUCAACCCCUGGGGAUACGGCCCAAGGUUAAAACUCAAAUGAUUGACGGGGCCCGCACAACGGUGGAGCAUGUGGUUUAAUUCAUGCACGCAAAAACCUUACCUACUCUUGACUCCAGAAACUUACCAAAAUGCUUUGGUGCCUUCGAACUCUGAAACAGGUGCUGCAUGGCUGUCUCGCUCUGUUGUGAAAUGUUGGGUUAAUCCCCAACAGCGCAACCCUUAUCCUUUGUUGCCACGUUAGGCCGGAACUCAAAGGAGACUGCCAUAUAAACUGAGAAGGUGGGAUACUUCAAUCUCUGGCCCUUACGAGUAGGGCUACACACUGCUACAAUGGCGCAUACAAAGAAACCGACCUCCCAGAGCAACGGACCUCAUAAAGUGCUCUAUCCGAAUUGAAUCUGCAACUCAACUCCAUGAAUCGGAAUCCUAUAAUCUGAAUCAAAAUGCCCGGUGAAUACUUCCCGGGCCUUGUACACCCCCCGUUUUUUUCUGGUGAUGGUGGGGCAGGCCUACCUUCAUAGUAACAGAGCCUUUCUUCGCUGACGAGUGGCGACGGGUGAGUAAUUUGGGAAACUGCCCGAUGGAGGGGGAUAACUACUGGAAACGGUAGCUAAUACCGCAUAACGUCCAAGACCAAAGAGGGGGACCUUCGGGCCUCUUGCCAUGGAUGUGCCCAGAUGGAUUAGCUAGUAGGUGGGGUAAGGCUCACCUAGCGACGAUCCCUAGCUGGUCUGAGAGGAUGACCAGCCACACUGGAACUGAGACACGGUCCAGACUCCUACGGGAGGCAGCAGUGGGGAAUUUGCACAAUGGGCGCAAGCCUGAUCAGCCAUGCCGCGUGUAUGAAGAAGGCCUUCGGGUUGUAAAGUACUUUCACGGGGAGGAAGUCAUUAAUACCCUCGCAUUGACGUUACCCUCAGAAAAGCACCGGCUAACUCCGUGCCAGCAGCCGCGGUAAUACGAGGGUGCAAGCGUUAAUCGGAAUUACUGGGCGUAAAGCGCACGCAGGCGGUUGUAAGUCGAUGUGAAAUCCCCGGGCUCAACCUGGGAACUGCAUUGAAACUGCCAGGCUAGAGUCUUGUAGAGGGGGGUAGAAUUCCAGGUGUAGCGGUGAAAUGCGUAGAAUCUGGAGGAAACCGGUGGCGAAGGCGCCCCCUGACAAAACUACGUCAGUCAGA